rnacentral:rRNA from 1 species
CAGCCGCCGCGGGAAUACGUAGGUGGCAAGCGUUGUCCGGAAUUAUUGGGCGUAAAGCGCGCGCAGGUGGUUUAAUAAGUCUGAUGUGAAAGCCCACGGCUCAACCGUGGAGGGUCAUUGGAAACUGUUAAACUUGAGUGCAGGAGAGAAAAGUGGAAUUCCUAGUGUAGCGGUGAAAUGCGUAGAGAUUAGGAGGAACACCAGUGGCGAAAGCGGCUUUUUGGCCUGUAACUGACACUGAGGCGCGAAAGCGUGGGGAGCAAACAGGAUUAGAUACCCGUGUAGUCCCUGUCUCUUAUAC